UACGUAGGCAGCAAGCGUUGUUCGGAAUUACUGGGCGUAAAGAGUGUGUAGGCGGUGCUCCAAGUCUGGUGUGAAAUCUCCCGGCUCAACCGGGAGGGUGCGCCGAAUACUGAGAGGCUAGAGUGUGGGAGAGGAAAGUGGAAUUCCUGGUGUAGCGGUGAAAUGCGUAGAUAUCAGGAGGAACACCGGUGGUGUAAACGGCUUUCUGGACCAUAACUGACGCUGAGGCACGAAAGCGUGGGUAGCAAACAGG
rnacentral:rRNA from 1 species